UAGUGUAGCCGGUAUAAUUUACAUACAUAUGUAUCCAUCUUUUUGUAUCUGCCGGAAGUAUAUAUAUUUGAGGUUUAGUAAGCUAAGUUCGUGCAUAGUCGGUUCAGUUCGUAGAUAGUCGGUUUUACGAUUCUGUACGAAUAUAGUCGAAUGCCAUUCGCCAAUCGCAUCGAUCCAAUAUCCACAUCGUUGUCACAUACAACAGUGUUGUACGUAGCACAUCAUUACGCUCUUUAAGUAUUUUGUGUUUGCAAGUAUUUUGGGACCAACCGAACUUGACUUCUUUCUUAAAUAUUAAUUUGUUUCAGAUGCCACGAAGCAGGAGGCGUCACCGUACUCGCAGCCAUUCAAGAGCACGUUCAAAUUCUGGAGGCUCUCUUCAAUAUGAACACAAGAGACGCCGCAUAGAUUAUGAAAGUCCAAGGAGUAAAGGAACAUAUAGGUGAGUAAUAAAACUAACAUUUAUUCCAUAAUCUAUAUUAAUAUACAUCUGAUUGAAAAUUCAGAUGAUUAUUUUUUGAUUUUAUAUAUAAUAAUCAAAAAAUAUAUUGUAUAUCAUUAUUAAUAUUCUAUGCAAUUUUAAUUCUGUUCAAUGCAUAAUAAUGUUUGAUAGUGACAUAUCUAAAACAUAUGCAAAUCAAUUAAUAAUCACUGUAAAAUAUUGAUUUUUAAUAAAUUAUCAAUUAAUAUAUUUUGAAAUUAGAACAAUCACAAGUGUCAAAGUAUACUUACUAUUACAAAUGUUUCAAAAAGAAGACUAAGAUUAUUGAGAAUGAUUUUUGUAAGACUUGCGCAAAAAACAUUAAGAAAGAAUAUCGGAGUGGGGAAUAAGUGGAACUACAGCAUACGAAACCAAUGCCACGAAGGCGUCUCCCACUCCUUAAUGCGUCUAGUAUGAACCGAGAAGACGAUAGAAAUUCUCCAUGAGAUCUUUAUGGCUGUCAGCCAGUCGUGAUCGGUGCGUUCGAGCUUUAUUGUCGCCCGGGAAAAUCUUGACUUCAAGAUUUACCGGACAUAAUUGAUUGAGUACAGGAAAUAGUCUUUGGCUAUUAUCUGAAAAAGCGUUUCGAAAAAUAUACGUGAGUGCUGAUGUGGGUUUUAUC
rnacentral:misc_RNA from 1 species